rnacentral:rRNA from 1 species
CCUACGGGAGGCAGCAGUGAGGAAUAUUGGUCAAUGGACGCGAGUCUGAACCAGCCAAGUAGCGUGCAGGAUGACUGCCCUACGGGUUGUAAACUUCUUUUAUAAGAGGGUAAAGUGAGGCACGUGUGCCUUUUUGUAUGUACCUUAUGAAUAAGGAUCGGCUAACUCCGUGCCAGCAGCCGCGGUAAUACGGAGGAUCCGAGCGUUAUCCGGAUUUAUUGGGUUUAAGGGGAGCGUAGAUGGUUUGUUAAGUCAGUUGUGAAAGUUUGCGGCUCAACCGUAAAAUUGCAGUUGAUACUGGAAGCCUAGAGAGCAGUUGAGGUAGGCGGAAUUGGUGGUGUAGCGGUGAAAUGCUUAGAUAU